GGGGCCGACCUGGUUUCGACGUGGGUGCGGAUCCGGAAUGGGGCAUGCCGAGCACCAGUCAGCUCGUAAAUCCACUGGAACAAAGUAACUGCGAACGACGAACGUUUCGCCCUCGCCGCUUAACACCGGUGAGCCUCGCAACAGUUGGCCGAUGGGCUGGGCACUAGACCGCAAGGUCUAAGGCUGCGAGGUCAUACACAUUGGCUGGUUCCCGUUUGGGUCACUCAAGCAGGAACGAGAUCUAGUGACUGGUGAGUCCCGGAGCGUGCUGCUGCGCGCCGUGGCUCACGAGAAUCAAAUCAGUCAGCUACGCAUGUAGAACCACCCGGUGAUGGCUUGCGGACGCGGGUUCAAUUCCCGCCGGCUCCACCA
rnacentral:tmRNA from 1 species